rnacentral:lncRNA from 1 species
AUUUUAUACAUCUUCUUUUAAAGGUGAUGUUAUUCCAUUCUCAAUAGAUGGGCCAACUUUCGUGAGAUCAACACUUUUGGAGGUAAUCCAAAAUGUUCUCACGUGGUUUUCCAUGCUCAUAACACUACCGUCAGAGGAGCAGAGACCCAGAGCUAUAGAAAACUUCACAACAAACCAACAUUCAAACUCAAGGGAUAAGAUCGUAGGCUAUCACAAUGAAAACACUCCCUCUAGCAUCUACCGGACAAAUCACGUCAAGAAUAGCUCAUAAGGGUGUUGCAUCCAAAACAUUAAACAAC